UCAGUCGUACCUGCGGACAAUCAGCUUUUUGAGUGUGAUUAUGUGGAUUGUGAGGAGUUUAAUCACCCUCAUGUUUUACGUAUUCGUGCUCUUGGGUGUACUUGCCCGUGUGGUUGGUUAACAUCAAUUUUGGUGGUCAUAAAAUGACUGGAGGAAUGUAGCUUCGAUCUUGUAUUGAAGUGUUAUAGCCUUCGGUAGAUGUGAUGAUCAAGAUUGAGGAUUGCAACGGAUACCCUUCGGGGCUACCUGUCUGGUCUCUGAUCGUUGCUCUGGUGCCGAAAGCUUGCUUACGGUUAUCAAAGUCGAUGGUCAAUAGGUUAGAACGGGUUAAA
rnacentral:rRNA from 1 species